CAUAAUCUCCACAUGCAUGUUAACAAUUAAAUUACUAUGUUUUUGUUGUUGAUACCAGAAUGCCUCUCUCUCUUGUAGAAUAUCAAUAACAAGAACGAAAAAAAUGAUUUUAUGAGGACGCAGCAGAAUGGUUAUUACUAAUUGUUAACCAAUCUCAAAUUAAUAUCUACCACUUCACAAGCAUUUCAUUUAUACGUUUAAUGGCUGUCAAUACUAAAGAUUGGUUAAUAUUUACAAAAAAUCAAUUUCUCUGCAAUAGAAUCGGCAC
rnacentral:lncRNA from 1 species